rnacentral:rRNA from 1 species
UACGGAGGGUGCAAGCGUUGUCCGGAAUCACUGGGCGUAAAGGGCGCGUAGGCGGCUCGGUAAGUAGGGGGUGAAAUCCUGCGGCUCAACCGCAGGGCUGCCUUCUAAACUGUCGAGCUCGAGCACGGUAGAGGCAGAUGGAAUUCCCGGUGUAGCGGUGGAAUGCGUAGAGAUCGGGAAGAACAUCAGUGGCGAAAGCGACUUCCUGGACCAAUACUGACGCUCAUGUGCGAAAGCGUGGGGAGCAAACAGG